UUAUCUCAUGCUCAAGCUACUGUUCGGCGCCGUAAACAUUCAGAUUUCCAUGGUUCCCAUUAAAAAGAAUUGUACCAGCUUGAAGCUCCACCAAUAAAUGAGUUUGUUUGAUGCGAUGAACAUCUCCGUCAGAUUUCUGAAAGAUUAAACUCUGUAACGCAACAGCUUCAACCUCAUCCUUUACAAGAAGUCUCCGCUUAUCCAAGGGACCAUCAAUGCCAACCAAAACUCAGCGAUCAUUAACGUGUUGCAGUCAGGAGACUCAAGGCAUGGAGAAACAGAGAAGAUAUAGAUUUCGUUGUUGAAGUCGAGAUUCGAAAGAAAGUUUUGUGAAAAUUGUUGAUCAGAGACUGAGAGUAGAGAACGUGGAAGAGAGGUUGAGAAGUUUUUCUUGGUGGGACUAAAAUAUGCUCAGAUGGGGCCGGAGAAGAGACCAACAAUGUCUGAAGUGGUGGAGAUGCUAAUGAAUAAAUUAAUGGAGAAAAUGUCGUCUGAACUUGAAGCCAAUUCUCUCUUCAAGAAUCCAUGUAGCAGCAAUUAAAACUGUAGAGAGCAUCAGGAGGUUGCAGAUGAAAGCUCAUAUGUGAUCUCAGAAGAAAAGGAUCAUUAUUAAUAAGGUUUUUAGGCACAUGACAUUUGUUUUCUCAGAUUAGUUUUUAACAUCUUCUCUUAAUUAUAUUAACACAUGACAAAGCUACUCCAUUUCCAAAUUUCUACUAACACACUUCUCCACUGAAACUUCCAUUA